rnacentral:rRNA from 1 species
UACGUAGGGUGCAAGCGUUAAUCGGAAUACUGGCGUAAAGCGUGCGCAGGCGGUGAUGUAAGACAGGUGUGAAAUCCCCGGGCUUAACCUGGGAACUGCAUUUGUGACUGCAUCGCUGGAGUGCGGCAGAGGGGGAUGGAAUUCCGCGUGUAGCAGUGAAAUGCGUAGAUAUCGGGAGGAACACCCGUAGCGAAGGCGGCACUCUGGGCCGGAACUGACGCUGAGGAGCGAAAGCGUGGGGAGCAAA